GUCGAUACGUCCAAGUCGUUAAGGAGAGACUUGAAAUCUGUUGGGCUUCACCCGCGCAGGUUCGAACCCUGCUGUCCACG
rfam:Capsicum annuum cultivar Zunla-1 chromosome 5, whole genome shotgun sequence